AAUGUGUGAAUAUAAACGAGAAAUGAAAAGGCAGUUCCGACCACAGCAUAUCUAAUAGGCAGUACCCACAUUAAAAUGCUCCGAUUUGCAAAUAUAUUGUGAAAAAUUAUUCGUACACAUGAUUGGCGCUAAAAAAGGACAAAGCAUAAUCUUCGUCAAAUCGUAUUGAUAAGAGCCAUAUUUGAUUGAACGAAAAUUGAUGUGUUAUGGCCUCCGUCAGAUUUGUAUAUACAAAAAUACAAAAAUUUUGAAUCGAAGAAAAGGGGAAUUUCUGAAUGAAAAUAAAAAACAUUUGAAUGGCUUCCAUCUGGCGUAGCCUCAAGCAAACUAUUUCGAAACUACCGCUGCGAUAGUUUCAUUCAUGAAAUGCGUGAGCCGCGCGAAUUUCAUUCCAAAAAUUGAAAAUUUAAAUUACACUUUUCAUUGCUUACUUCAGUGCCAACAAAAAGUAAACAAAGGUAAUACAACGAAACGUAAAUCUUGAAAGGCAAUGGCAGCGGGAAUUGUAUAUGAAAAAUAAAUGGAAAUUGGAUCAGUUUGUCUAUAAAAAGCGUUUCUUGCGGUAAAGUUUGAAUGUAAUGGUUAAAAUUGUAGUUGAUGAACGAAAAAUUCUCUCUGAAGCAACAAAGUAAGGCGUGGGCGGGCUGCCAAACCUGUCAAAUUUGGGUCAGAAACAAGCACGGCUGAAUUUUUGCAUACAUGUAGAGUGAAGACCCAGAGAUACAGAACAAAUAUUGUCAGAAGGCUAGGUAGAAUAUAAAAUGUUGCCAACAAGCUUAAAGUUGCAAAAAACAUAAAAUUUACAUAUUUAAAAAAUCAAUGCCCAUGAACUAGCAGUUAUGAAAGGUUAUAACUAUUUUCUGCUUUUGAGUUCAGUUGCUUGGUGUUUCUUUUCAAUGAGUGGGUUUCCAUUUAAUCUAUUAUAACUAGCACAAACUGGACACUUAGGAUAAAAUGAUGUCAACAACAUUUUUUCAGGGUGAAAUGAAGAUAAUUUUUUGGUGAGAAGAUUAGCAAACUGUGUAUAAUAAAAUUCGAGGAAAAUAGGGUUAAACGGCAAAAUUUGUGGGUAGAAAAACACAAUUUUUGCAUUUGGAAAGUUAUAAUGUUUUCACAGACUGCUCUACCUUCACAAGCACACAUAUUCUAGAAUAAUGUCUUGGUUGCUAUUCAACGUCUAUUCCAAUGUUCUAGCUAUCGUAGUUUCUAAGUUAUAAUUAUUUUGGUAGUAUAAAAUAUGAUACCUUUUCUAGAAAUUAAAAAUACCUGCGGACACUAAAGGGCAAAGAAAUGGAAAAAAAUUACAUAUUUUUUGCUUAGAAUUACUUGAGGAAUCGGCUAAAAUGCAGUUUGUCUGGUAAUUUUUGAACACAAUAUAUAUGUGAAACCUAUAAAUUCGAAUUGUCAAAGUACCUUUUAAUAUACAAAUUUUUUUUUCAACUUUAAGCCUUCUGACAACCUUUUGUCUUCCAACUAGCCUUCUGACAAUAUUUGUCCCGUGAUUGUGUAAGUUUCAUUCUGUAUGUAUGCAAAAAUCUAACCGGGCAGGAGUCAGUUUUAUCUUGACCAAAAUUUGACAGGUCAUAUGAUUAAAUAAAUAAAUGUCAUCGUUACACAUCAAGUAGUGAGGGUCAUAAAACAACUGUGGAAGAGCGAAAAAUUGUAAAUAAUUUAUUUAAAAAAAGGCGUAAAUUCAAAAAAAUAAGUGAAAGUACCAACAGGCCAGUUACAACGAUUAAAAUCAUGGUGUACAGGUAUCUAAAGCAGGAAAGUGCCCGAAGAUCUGACCGACCGAAAAAAAAAUCCAAGGCAAAUUGCGUCCAAAAUAGCUGCUGAGGUGAAAAAAGAGCUAUGAAAAUCCUGAAUUAGUCACGGAAAAGUUAAGCAGACGAAUACUUUCUUGACACGCUGUAUCUACGGUUUUGUGCACGAGUAAAUCGGAAAUAUGGGUAUGUACAAUGUAUAUACAUACAUUACACAUGCACUAUUUGGUAAAUAGGCAAGUUUUGUUUGUUUAGGGUGCGUAUAAUAUCUAGCUAUAUACGGGUGGAAAAAUAUUCGUAGACAGUUAAACCUUUAUACCUGAAGCGCGAGAAUCCGGUAUUCCAACUUGUAUUAUAUGACUAUUGAAUCAAACAAAAAUGGAAUGAAAUGACAUCGGAACGGGAUUUAUUUUGAGGCCUAGAUUUCGUUUAGAUACACCACACUUUCGGUUGAAUGGGUUCUGAGAACGAGACCUGUUACACUUUUUGGGGGUCAUAUUUUAAGUCCUCACUCAUUUACGAUCAAACAUGGGAUCAUUUUGAAAAAUGCUAAUCGAGCUCUUUCAUUUGGUACCCCACAUAGCCACAUUCUAUGAAAAAAAAUUUUGCAUUCUCCAUUCACCAGUAUAGGGAGACCCCCUUAAACUUUACGCAAAAUGACGCCAUUUGUUAUAUGUAAAGGCAACAACAGACCAUAUGCUCUAGCCAAAUUUCGUGACAAUCGCUUCAGCCGUUUCCGAAUAAAUCGCGUGUGACCAACAGACGGACGGACAAACAGGCAACACAAUUCUAAUAAGGUUUUGUUUCACACAAAACCUUAAAAAGGCACACGUAAUUCAAAUGUUCCCUUUUAUUUUGUUAUGUCUGGUAUUUUUGUCAAAAUACAUGUUUGGAUCUGGAACUGAAGAUGAGCAGCAACGUCUACUGCAAUAUCCAUCGCAUCCGCUUGACGGACCAUUCGUAGAUUGCCCAAAGCGUUUGGCGAAACUCUGAUGCUCAGCAACUGAAACUCUGUAAAGUGUUUUUUCCUGCCUGACAGCUUCCAUGUAAUUCCUGAGGAUAAUAAUAAAACUCGGAUUCUCAAUUA